rnacentral:rRNA from 1 species
ACCUAGUCCCACCACACCCCCAAGGGUAUUCAGCAGUGAUAGGUAUUGUCUAUAAGCGCUAGCUUGACCCAGUUAUAGAGAAGAGAGCCGGCCAACUUGGUGCCAGCCGCCGCGGCUAGACCAACUGGACUCAAAUUGAUAAUCCCCGGCGUUAAGCGUGAUUAAAGCCAUGAACAAAUUAGAGUUAAACCUACGUUGAGCAGUGAAAAGCACACGAUAGGGAAAUCCAAAAACGAAAGUUAUUCUAAUCCUUGCUUGAAUACACGACAGCUAGGACACAAACUGGGAUUAGAUACCCCACUAUGCCUAGCCGUAAACUAUUAACCUACACCCACCCGCGCCAGGGAACUACGAGCUUUAGCUUAAAACCCAAAGGACUUGACGGUGUCCCACCCAACUAGAGGAGCCUGUUCUAUAAUCGAUGACCCCCGCUCCACCCAACCCCCCCUUGCUUUAUCAGCCUGUAUACCUCCGUCGUAAACCCGCCGUAUGAAUGUACCCAAGCGGAUUUAAUGGUCCCACACCAACACGUCAGGUCAAGGUGCAGCCAAUGGGAGAGGUAAGUGAUGGGCUACAAUUUCUAAUCUAGAACAAACGAAAUUCUGCAUGAAACACAGUUAUGAAGGAGGAUUUAGUAGUAAAAAGAAAGUAGCGUGUUCUUUUUAACAUGGCCCUGGGACGUGUACACA